ACUGUCCCUGAGGUUCUCGGCAGAAGGCAAGUGACUGUUUUGGCUGCUCCUAACAGUUUAAGUGUCUUUAAAAUUCAAGCUGCCUUAAGGAGAACGCAUCAUGUGCCAAUGAAAGCAGGGGAAGCAUCAAUAACGGAUCUCAGGUCUCCACCACCCCCCUUUGAUACAUACAAAUAUACCAAACCUUGGAGCUUGUGGCAGAUGGAGAAGAGGAAAAGUUAGAAUCAGCAAGGGACUUCAAGCAUUAGCCUUUCCCAGCACUCAAUGAAACAAUCCCAUAAGUAAUAGAAGGCUAAGAGCGGCGUAGAGGAGAAAUAUUUUCACCUAGAGGGUGGUGGGAGGCCGGAACUCACUGUCUGAAAGGGUGGUUGAGUCAGAAACUCUUGUAACAUUUAAGGAGUAUUUAGAUAUUCACCUGCGUUGUCAUAGCUUCCAGGGCUAUGGGCCAAGCGCUGGGAAAUGGGAUUAGUGUAGUCAGAUCUUU